CCUCCUUUCUUCCUGUACUGUGUGAUGGUAGCCGGGGUUCCUUGUGUCUAUGGCAGGCCUGUGCUGUGGGGUAGAGGGCAGAGUAAGGGAUGUUUCAACUCAGAGGAAAUCACAAGAGCAGAGCAUGGCAAGAUCAAAGAUUAUAUCAACCCACCUGUGAAAUAUCAGAAACUGCAUCUUGCUGAAAAGACAAAAAACUGCAUAAAAUAUACCUGAUUGGAUAUUGGCUAAAUAUUCUGAACAGAAUAGAAUAUGAC
rnacentral:lncRNA from 1 species